rnacentral:rRNA from 1 species
UGGGAGGAGUUUGAUCCUGGCUCAGACUUGAUACUGCUGGCGGCAGGCCUAACACACGCAAGUCGAGCGGCAGCACAAGUAAGUUUACUUAUGAGGUGGCGAGCGGCGGACGGGUGAGUAAUGCCUAGGGAUCUGCCCAGUCGAGGGGGAUAACAGUUGGAAACGACUGCUAAUACCGCAUACGCCCUACGGGGGAAAGAGGGGGACCUUCGGGCCUCUCGCGAUUGGAUGAACCUAGGUGGGAUUAGCUAGUUGGUGAGGUAAUGGCUCACCAAGGCGACGAUCCCUAGCUGUUCUGAGAGGAUGAUCAGCCACACUGGGACUGAGACACGGCCCAGACUCCUACGGGAGGCAGCAGUGGGGAAUAUUGCACAAUGGGGGAAACCCUGAUGCAGCCAUGCCGCGUGUGUGAAGAAGGCCUUCGGGUUGUAAAGCACUUUCAGUAGGGAGGAAAGGGUGAGUCUUAAUACGGCUCAUCUGUGACGUUACCUACAGAAGAAGGACCGGCUAACUCCGUGCCAGCAGCCGCGGUA